UCUGGAGGAGUGUCCUCUACUGCUGUCUACUAGAAUCAGCUGCAGGCUGGCAGCUGCUAUGAAGCCCUCCUGUCGCCGACUCAGGUUUUUCACCAGCCUGAAGGAUGAAGAAAAGUCAGGAAAGGUUGGAUGACGUCUCCACAUUUGAUGAUGAUGCUGUCUGGUCCAUUUUGAAGACAGUCAGCCAAAGCCCUGUAUCUGCCUGGAGACUAACACAAAAGCAAAACUGUCAGGAACAAAUUGCACCAAAACCUCCUCUUCUGUGUCAGAUGGGUGGAAGGCGUCCCGACCUCCAGACCACUCCUCCAGAUCCUCGCAGAUGUCUACCGAGUGAUGAGCUCCGGGCCAACCUGCGAAACACACAUUACUUAGUGUUACACGUAUUGAUGAAUGAUUCAUCCAAACUCCACAACUUAAAGGCACCAUGUCGAUACUUAGUAACUAUACCCCUUCGUCACUUACUGGGAAAUUAACAAGAACGGAGAAUCAAAAGCUAAUCUCAGCAGUUGGACCUUUUCCCCCCAAAUCCCUCGAUGUACCUGGUUCUUCAGGUCAAAGUACACCUGAACUGCUGAGGAAGGAAAAGUCAAAUAUCUAUAUCAGUUAGAUAUUAUGAAGAUAAUCAGCAACAGUCGUAAUAUACUGUGCAAAGCAUGUAUGAUUUGCAUCAAUUCCCAUAACUGUUUCUGUGAUUUAGUUACUAAGUAUCUACUUGAUUGUGGAAUAAAUGUGUGUGGACAAGAUUUACUCACUCUUG